rnacentral:rRNA from 1 species
UAGAGUUUGAUCCUGGCUCAGAUUGAACGCUGGCGGCAGGCCUAACACAUGCAAGUCGAGCGGUAGAGAGAAGCUUGCUUCUCUUGAGAGCGGCGGACGGGUGAGUAAUGCCUAGGAAUCUGCCUGGUAGUGGGGGAUAACGCUCGGAAACGGACGCUAAUACCGCAUACGUCCUACGGGAGAAAGCAGGGGACCUUCGGGCCUUGCGCUAUCAGAUGAGCCUAGGUCGGAUUAGCUAGUUGGUGAGGUAAUGGCUCACCAAGGCGACGAUCCGUAACUGGUCUGAGAGGAUGAUCAGUCACACUGGAACUGAGACACGGUCCAGACUCCUACGGGAGGCAGCAGUGGGGAAUAUUGGACAAUGGGCGAAAGCCUGAUCCAGCCAUGCCGCGUGUGUGAAGAAGGUCUUCGGAUUGUAAAGCACUUUAAGUUGGGAGGAAGGGCAGUAACCUAAUACGUUAUUGUUUUGACGUUACCGACAGAAUAAGCACCGGCUAACU